AAUCGGCGUACAACGAUGGGGACGUGUCCCCGAUGUGGUGCCGAGGGUGGCAAGCCACAGCAAAAGCACCAUCUGGUGGAAAGCUGAAAAAUCACGUGUCGGGCAAUAGGGUUUGGUAGGCUGGCAACAGUUCGAAGAAGUCUGGCCCG
rnacentral:sRNA from 12 species